GCUAAACUUCCGGUUACACUCGCUUCACAACAUGGUGCUCAUGCAUCAUCGGAAGAAUGAGCCUUGCUUGAACUGUGAGGGUGUGUGUGUCGAGCUAGAGAAUGUUAGCUGAUGGCGGAAACUCUUUAAUUAGCGCCCUUGGAGAGCGGAAUGAGUUUUUCACGGUGUUCAUGGUGCUUAUGGAGCAUGGUGCUCGUUGAGAGGAAGAAAUAAACCGACACCCGCUUGGAACUCUCUGCUUCUUCUUGAUUAAUAAAUCUGCUACAAAGACACACGAUAAAAUAAUAAUAAAAAC